rnacentral:rRNA from 1 species
GAUGAACGCUAGCGGCAGGCCUAAUACAUGCAAGUCGAACGGUGUAGCAAUACACAGUGGCGCACGGGUGCGUAACACGUAUGCAACCUACCUUACAUUGGGGGAUAGCCUUUCGAAAGGGAGAUUAAUACCGCAUAAGACAGUAACUGGGCAUCCAGUAGCUGUUAAAGAUUUAUCGAUGUAAGCUGGGCAUGCGUCCAAUUAGUUAGUUGGCGAGGUAAUGGCUCACCAAGACGAUGAUUGGUAGGGGAACUGAGAGGUCAAUCCCCCACACUGGCACUGAGAUACGGGCCAGACUCCUACGGGAGGCAGCAGUAGGGGAUAUUGGGCAAUGGGCGCAAGCCUGACCCAGCCAUGCCGCGUGCAGGAAGAAGGCGUUAUGCGUUGUAAACUGCUUUUAUACAGGAAGAAACGACCCUUGCGAGGGGCAUUGACGGUACUGUAUGAAUAAGCACCGGCUAACGCAGGGCCAGCCGCCGCCGUAACAC